rnacentral:sRNA from 1 species
UGCCUAACCCUCUCAAAUUUUGUGAGGUAUGGCAAGAAAUCGUUCAGCAUACUAACCCCGUCAUAGGGCGUGCUGAACGUUGCAGACCGAAAGGUUUGUAUGCUACCGAAAGGUAGCA